rnacentral:lncRNA from 1 species
UCUCUCCAGUAUUUCAAAUAAUCGGUCAAAAUCCUCUCGAAGUGAACCCUCCUGGGCUGCUCGAUUUAGUGGGGGUCUUCAUCUUCUCAUCUAUCUGUACCUGCAUUUCACAAGGAAUAAUUGAGUGAUAAUUAAUUCUUUAGUGUUUCUUAGAUUUUUUGUGUAAGGAAUGGUUCCGGAAAACUUGGCUCUGAUACCAACUGUAACUGCCCAUAACUAAGGAAAUAAGUUAUAAAUUGAAUGCAGAAGUGAAAUAAUAGCAUUAGAGUUUACAUUCCUUACACAAUAAUUCAGAAUACCCAAUAGGACUACGGGAAUAACUCGUCUAAAAGAACAACGAAAAAUUAAAGAAAUAAAUAGAAAGUAAACAACUGUACAUCCUAUUCGUAAU